GAGAAUUUCCCUUGGCGCGCGACGUAAGGAAACAGCUGCGGCGGCUGCUGCGGUCCGAGGCGUCUCAUCCCCAGCGCAGUGGGACUCAGGCUGCCGCCGCCGCUUGUCUCUUCCUCUCAGUCCAAGUGAACACACUGUAUUGAAGC